rnacentral:rRNA from 1 species
UGACCAACCUGCCCCUAACUCUGGGAUAAACCCCGGGAAACCGGAGCUAAUACCGGAUACGAGACCGAGUGGCAUCACACGGUCUGGAAAGUUUUUCGGUGGGGGAUGGACUCGCGGCCUAUCAGCUUGUUGGUGGGGUAAUGGCCUACCAAGGCGACGACGGGUAGCCGGCCUGAGAGGGUGACCGGCCACACUGGGACUGAGACACGGCCCAGACUCCUACGGGAGGCA